rnacentral:rRNA from 1 species
UACGAGAGCCAUAUCACCCUGCAGCUCUCGCCUGAUUUCCCACUGAAGCUAAACAGGUUUGAGCCUGGCCAGUACCUAGAUGUGAGACCUCCUGGGGCAAACUAAGGUUGCUGCUGGAA